rnacentral:rRNA from 1 species
AGUGAACGCUGGCGGCAGGCCUAACACAUGCAAGUCGAACGAGUGGCGGACGGGUGAGGAAUACAUCGGAAUCUACUCUGUCGUGGGGGAUAACGUAGGGAAACGUACGCUAAUACCGCAUACGAUUGAAUGAGCCGAUGUCGGAUUAGCUAGUUGGGGGGGUAAAGGCCCACCAAGGCGACGAUCCCUAGCUGGUCUGAGAGGAUGACCAGCCGCACUGGAACCGAGACACGGGCCAGACUCCCACGGGAGGCAGCAGUGGGGAAUAUGGGACAAUGGGCGCAAGCCUGAUACAGCCAUACCGCGUGGGUGAAGAAGGCCUUCGGGUUGUAAAGACCGUUUGUUGGGAAAGCGGUACCCAAAGAAGGAGCACCGGCUAACUUCGUGCCAGCAGCCGCGGUAAUAC